rnacentral:rRNA from 1 species
GUAGGGAAUAUUGGACAAUGGGUGCAAGCCUGAUCCAGCCAUGCCGCGUGCAGGAAGAAGGCUUUCUGAGUUGUAAACUGCUUUUGCCAGGGGAUAAAAUACGGAUGCGUCCGGAAUUGAAGGUACCUGGUGAAUACGCCACGGCUAACUACGUGCCAGCAGCCGCGGUAAUACGUAGGUGGCAAGCGUUGUCCGGAUUUAUUGGGUUUAAAGGGUGCGUAGGCGGUUCUUUAAGUCAGUGGCGAAAUACGGCAGCUCAACUGUCGAGGUGCCAUUGAUACUGGGGAACUUGAGUACUGAUGAGGUAGGCGGAAUGGACGGUGUAGCGGUGAAAUGCUUAGAUAUCGUCCAGAACACCAAUAGCGAAGGCAGCUUACUAAGGAGUAACUGACGCUGAGGCACGAAAGUGUGGGGAUCAAAC